rnacentral:rRNA from 1 species
AACGAACGCUGGCGGCAGGCUUAACACAUGCAAGUCGAACGCAUCCUUCGGGGUGAGUGGCAGACGGGUGAGUAACGCGUGGGAACGUGCCCUUCAGUUCGGGAUAACCCAGGGAAACUUGGGCUAAUACCGGAUACGUGCGAGAGCAGAAAGAUUUAUCGCUGAAGGAUCGGCCCGCGUCUGAUUAGCUAGUUGGUGGGGUAAUGGCCCACCAAGGCGACGAUCAGUAGCUGGUCUGAGAGGAUGACCAGCCACAUUGGGACUGAGACACGGCUCAAACUCCUCCGGGAGGCAGCAGUGGGGAAUAUUGGACAAUGGGUGCAAGCCUGAUCCAGCCAUGCCGCGUGAGUGAUGAAGGCCUUAGGAUUGUAAAGCUCUUUCGUCCGGGACGAUAAUGACGGUACCGGAAGAAGAAGCCCCGGCUAACUUCGUGCCAGCAGCCGCAGUAA